UACGAAGGGUGCAAGCGUUACUCGGAAUUACUGGGCGUAAAGCGCGCGCAGGCGGCACUGUAAGUAAGGUGUGAAAUCUCCCUGCUCAACGGGGAGGGUGCACUUUAGACUGCAGAGCUAGAGGACGGUAGAGGGGGGUGGAAUUGCUGGUGUAGCGGUGAAAUGCGUAGAGAUCAGCAGGAACACCCGUGGCGAAGGCGGCCCCCUGGGUCAAGACUGACGCUCAUGCACGAAAGCGUGGGGAGCAAACAGG
rnacentral:rRNA from 1 species